GCGAUGGGGGUACUAACAGCCAGGGGUGGAAGAGGGGAUAGCUCUCAGUCCCCACUCUUGUGGUGGGUGCCUCCCCCUCCUGCGAUCGGGGUCCUCAGAGCCGGGGGGCGGGGAAGAGGGUCUGGCUCUCAGUAAUCCCACGUAAGGUACCUGCUGUCGGAAGAUUUGAACUUUCUACUUGGACUACUAACACCCACAGUCCUCCAGGAAUCCCACGUAAGGUACCUGCCGUCGGAAGAUUUGAACUUUCUACUUGGACAACUAACACCCACAGUCCUCCAGGUGGGUCCUAAGGAUCUUAGGAUCAACGAUGGGGGGUCCUAAGCCGGGGGGGAAGAGGGUCUGGCUCUCAGUCCCCACCCUCGCGGGGGGUG
rnacentral:lncRNA from 1 species